rnacentral:rRNA from 1 species
AACGAACGCUGGCGGCAGGCCUAACACAUGCAAGUCGAGCGCCCUUUCGGGGGAGCGGCGGACGGGUGAGUAACGCGUGGGAAUAUGCCCUUCUCUACGGAAUAGCCUCGGGAAACUGAGAGUAAUACCGUAUACGCCCUGUGGGGGAAAGAUUUAUCGGGGAAGGAUUAGCCCGCGUUGGAUUAGGUAGUUGGUAGGGUAAUGGCCUACCAAGCCGACGAUCCAUAGCUGGUUUGAGAGGAUGAUCAGCCACACUGGGACUGAGACACGGCCCAGACUCCUACGGGAGGCAGCAGUGGGGAAUCUUAGACAAUGGGGGCAACCCUGAUCUAGCCAUGCCGCGUGAGUGAUGAAGGCCUUAGGGUUGUAAAGCUCUUUCAGCUGGGAAGAAAUGACGGUACCAGCAGAAGAAGCCCCGGCUAACUCCGUG